CUGCGCAGCGCGCCCUGUGGCGGCCGAGCCGGGGCAGCCUGCUCAGCGCCGCGGCGGCGGCGGCGGCUGGAGACAAAGCGCCCAGCUAAUGAAUGGGACGGGCCCGCCCGGCCCUUCCUUUUAACUCCUUCGGGCCCGGCCGGGCGGCGGCGGCAGCGGCGACCUCCGGCUUUCCCUGCGGCGGCCGCCCGGGGAGAUACAAUCAUCUUUGAGUAACAAGUAUUUAACCUCAAAUGAAGCCUCCUGCAUGCAGCGGAGCAGAUAUGUAAGUUUCUUUUUUUUUUUUUUUUAAUUUUUCCUUGUUUAUUAAUUAGUGGACAGCUUGCUUGUUUGUUUAGGGUCUUAUAGUAUUGUUACUAGUAUUAAUUUAGAGUAAGCGAAUAGAUAAAGGGCAUGAAAAAUUAUAUAUUUGAAUUAGCUUGUGUGGAGCUUAGUAAUUUAGCAGGAGGUUUGUGUGAGUGUCUGAGAUUUAAAAAUUAACUUUGGAAGCCUGGAUAUCUUUACAGUGUUACAUUAAUAGUAACUGGCUCAUGAUUUAUGGUGUACCUCCUACUCUGUGGUAACAGCUGACAUAUAUACAUCCUCACUCUGCAGUUUACCUCCUGAAAAAGAGGGAAGUAACUUGCAUGCUCUACAUUCAUCCCAUGCCCCAAGUACAGUUGCCUCAUUUGAGGUUGUUUUGUUUUGCAUUCUCACUGAUAAGAGUAAACUUAAGUAUUUUCCUCUCAGCUUUUUGUCUGAAACAAUUUUUUUCUUUAUACAUUCAGUUUGAAUUGUGGCUACAGAUUUUUGGAAGCAAAAAAUUAAUUUCCUGCCUAAAAAAAUAUAAGUAGAUUAACAAUUAUGUGUAGAUUAACACUUUGUUAUUUUUGUAUAGUGUUUCAGAUAAUGCUAUUCCUCCCCAUCUUCCCUCCAAUAAAAACAGUUCAACUUUGGCUAUGUGAUUUGUUAACACGCACCUUAGCAUGGACAAACAGUUUAAGAGGUAAAAUGCUGAGCUAGGAAGUUUUGGUGGGGUCAAGUAAGACUGACCUCCAUAGGAAAAUAGAAUAAAAACAUGAUUCAGAUUCAUUUCUUGAAGGAAAGCUUUCCUAGGUUGCACAUACAGAGUUGCACGUACAGAAUAUGUAGGGGAUUUUGUUAUGUACUAAGACUGUUUGUGGAUCUUUCUUUGUCAAGAGUGUAAGGAAAACUGUUAGUGCUUUCGAAAUCCAUAGUAUAGCCAAAGAACAGGAGAGAGCAGUCAUCGUUUGCAGCAGCCUGUUGAGUCAAUUGUUGAUCACUGUAAAGGAAUCUUAGAAAAGGGAUGAUAUUGCAUUUCACAGAAUGUUUAAAAGCUCACUCAUUUGAUGCUGAAUUUUAAUACACUCCUCUAAGGAUCACUUUGUACUUUAUGCUGUUUCACUGUAUGAUGUCAAUCACCGUAGCUUUUUAUAGUUCUACCUAAAGUGGCUCUCAAGGCUAAAACCCUCCAAGGAAAAUAUCCAUUCCAGUAUUACCUGUCAAGUAAAAAUGAGUAUCUUGUCUUAAUAUCUUCAAUAACUGUUUUUUUAUUACAGUCCAGAUAAUAUAACUGUUGACUGCAAUUUGGGUUGUUCUGGUAGACAGCAAAAUCUAUAAGUAGUUAGUGCCAACACGAGCUCCAGUAGAAAAAUACAUCUGUUAUUGCCUGUGUACUGAUGUUUGUGUGCUUCUUCAAAAUUCAUAUUGUUGUUUUUCUUUUUUCUUUAACUAUUUUGUUAAUGUUUUAUAAAACACAAUCAUAUUUACAUGUUUAUUUUGGGGAGUGUGAAAUAUGAGUAAAUAUAUAUAUAUAAUCAUAGAAUAUGCAGAGCUGGAAGGGGCCCGUGAGGAUCAUGUGAGUCCAAUUCCUGGCAACAGUGUCUAAUACUACUUCUUGCUGGGGUUUGCUUUUCUGCAAAGGGCUAAGCACUAUCGAAUUUAGCUUGCACUUGAAAAAUUUCUCCUUCCUGUAUGACAGUUGAAGACUAGCUUUGUUUUCCCUAUGCAUUUCAGUGUAUCAGUAUGCAGAAUGAAAUAUAUUUGCCACUACAGAUUGCACUGUACUGUGAAUGAACAAAUUAUUGCAUGCUGGUUCGUAGAGCUGAGUAGUGUGGCCCGAAGAGCUAGCAUUUUGAAAAUGUUUCUUGUAUUUGUCAUGCUUCCUUUAUUAGUAAUUCAGUAGACACUCUUUU
rnacentral:lncRNA from 1 species